GUUGAGGAAACAUCUAGUGUUUACAGCACAGCGAAUACUUUCCCAUGAAAAAAAAAACGAAAAAAAAAAAACGAAUUACCGGCUGUAAUCUGCAAGGCAGAAUCGCGCUGCCCGGUCAGCUUACGAACGACGGUGCAAUAGUACAGAACACCCAUGGCAAUAGCAGCAACCAUAUUUGUUUGCGGCUGAAGUUUCGUUAGUGUCGUAUUUUCUGUUGAAGUGCGCAAAAAGUAAAUGUAAAAACUUUUAACCUAAAUUACUGACUUGAUACCGCAUAUAAAAGGCCGUAAUAUUUAUUGACAUCAAAGAGCAGUAUCGCAGAGAAGGGAACACGGCGGUUGGGAAGGAUAUAAAACUGCGACCGUAGUCAGCCGUAGUUGCGCACAGCACGUGUGCCAUGGCGGCUGCCAUGUCAAGGCGAGGCGUCACGCGAGGUGUGCGUGUUAGUGAAUGAACGAUGUGUUUUUAAGGAACCCGUGGUGUUAGCGCCUGCGCAAUCUCAUUCGUGCAGUAAUAUAUUUGGAUAGUUUUAUCUAUGGAUGCUGUUAAUACUUCAAAACAACGCAAGGCAACUGUUUUACCCCUGUCCUUCGCGGCUUUGUGGAUCUAUCAGCGUGCAUCGAUGUGCAGCGUUUUCCCCGGCGCCGAUUUGCCAUCUCGAGGUUUUUUUAACCACUUCAUCAAAAGGACGUCCUCUGGUCGAAGUCAACGAAAAGCUCUCAAUCAAGAUUGCUGACCUGACGAAGAUCUCGAAAGAGGAAUCUGUAAAAAGAUAUGCUGUGCUAAUAAAUGCUUCUAGAAAUUUUA